GCGUUAGGCCUUUGGGCAUUUAGUGGUGAUUGGGAUUAUAUUGGGCUGCAGGAUCUUUCCCUAUUUGUGUUCCUUACAAUGCCUGUGAGAGACACCAACUCACGAAGGCCGAUCCAGUUGGUCAGGACUUCCCAUGAAAAAGGAUGACACAGGAAUGCCAGCUGCAAAAGCAAAAGAUGGUCAUUGAGCCACCAAAGGAGGAGUGUUGGAAUGUUGAAUGGAGACAAUCAUGACGAACACCGGAAAGACCCUGCAGACCGGCGCGUGCACGCGCAUGCUUCUGAGCAGCCAUUUACCAGUUAUCCAUCCAUUUAUGACUAAGCUUACAGAAAGAGUGGCUGACAGUAACAGGAAUAACUCAUUUUAAAAAUUCAGCAUCAACUCAGCAUUUUAAAAAUUAACUUGUCAGCCUUAAUUAACGACAGCCUUAACUUUCAUAACCAGAGGAAACAGUGAUAUCACCUUUCACAAAAGCAGCGUUCUUGUCAGCAGAGUUGUAAGCUUUAAGCCUGAUGUGGUUACAGUUGAAAACUUACUUUGGAUAAACUGUGCCUACAGCAGCAUGGAAUAACCGUUGUAAUUUGUUUCAGCUAUUAAACAUUUGGAAACAUUUUGAUUUGUGUGAUUUUGCGGACACUAACUCCUUCAUGUGCCACUGAAGUUUCCUACAGCCUAUAUCAUUUAUAUUACUAAUACAACCUGAUUUACUAGUCAUGUUGUACUAUCACUUCAAUGAUCAUUUUACUAUUUUACUUCGAUACACCAGAUGAUUGAUACUAAUUCAUCUUUGUGCCUUCUUCUGUCCAAAUGUUAGCAUGAUAUUUCUUUGUGCUAAUGGUUGAUGCUUUGACUUGUCUUAAAGGGACAAUGUGUAGUGAUGGUUCAUUUAUUCAAAAGACACCCCUUAACCUG
ensembl:lncRNA